rnacentral:rRNA from 1 species
UACAGAGACUGCAAGCGUUAUUCGGAUUCACUGGGCGUAAAGGGUGCGCAGGCGGCCGUGUGUGUGAGGCGUGAAAGCCCCGGGCUUAACCUGGGAAUGGCCAUGGAAACUGGCGAACUGGAGUGUGGCAGAGGGGGGUGGAAUUCCGCGUGUAGCAGUGAAAUGCGUAGAGAUGCGGAGGAACACCGAUGGCGAAGGCAGCCCCCUGGGCUAGCACUGACGCUCAGGCACGAAAGCGUGGGGAGCAAACAGG